rnacentral:lncRNA from 1 species
ACUAAUAUAUAUCAGCAUUAAAUAUUCUGUGUCAGUGUAACAUAUAGACAUUCAUCAUCCCAAGACAAUCUUGCAGCAUAACCCUAUUAUGCUUGGACAACCUUAUUUCAAAAUGAUAAAGUGGUGGAUCAGAUAUGCAUCAAUUCAUAUCAUCAUAUGAAAACAUCAUUUAUAGCAUAAUUAAUUUUAUAGCAUGAAUCAUAAUAUAUAUCACAUAAAUAUUGUAUAUAUAUUAUGGAACCAAACAAGGUCGGCUCUAAUACCACAGUAGGGUUUCAGGGAGAACAUGCAUAGCGGAAGCAUAAUGGAUUUCAAAAAUUUAAACAAUAAAAUCUUAAACAUUAAACCAUUAAACUAGCACUUCUUUAAUGAUUAACAAUCGUAUAUAACAUAUUCAUAACAUAAUAUAAGGUAAUAAAAGAAUACCUGCAAUGCUUAUUUCAAAAUUCCAGUAGAACCUCCAUCAGAUGCCCAAGUGUUCACCCUCCAAUGGUGAUCCACACAGGGCUAUGAUCAGGAUACCAACUUCUUAGGAUGAUUUCUCCUUUAAAAUUUUUACUUUAAAAAUUUUUUUGGGCAGUAGAACCUCAAGACCUUCUUCUUCUCCUCCUAGCCUUCCUAUCUCUAUCUUUCUUGUCUCUUUGUCUUCUUUAUAUCUCUUCCUAGGCCCUUGUCCUAAAAUCAAACUUAUUCUUACUAU